CAGAAUUGGAUGCUAAAAAGAUCUUCUCUUUUGUGAUGAAGUGAGAGUGGUGCAAAGAGAAGGGAUCCAUGGCUGAAAUGUGCCUGAUUGCAAUUGGUUGAGAUGAACUUCUGUCCAUAACAAUAGAGAUGAAUCGUGAUGAUGCAGUGGAAAAAUAAGGAGUGACUCAGGUUUUAGGUGGGCUUGGCCUGAAAGGACCUUUAAUUACAAUAAGGAAAUCAAAAUAAAGAAAUAUAUCUUUUUAAGAGUUAUAUGCAGAAGAAUUUUAGAAAAUUAUGUCCAAAAGAGUGCUAAGAUGUGCACAGAUGUGCUCUUAACACACCCCCAAAUCUGAAUUUUGCUGGUCGUCAAGCAAUAGUCUAACUCACUUUCGCAGGCAUCGCGGUUGCAUUUAGCAGAUGCAACAAGCCAUUAAACCCCUAAGUUACCCUAGUGGACGAGUGUUGCCUCGUGGGGGUUUGCAGUGAAGUUACCUACAAACUUCAUCAGUCAAGAAUUUUCAAUGUUUAACUCGAAAUUUGAACAAGUAUUAUUGUAUGAACCUAGAAUUGCAAAGACAAUAGAGACUUAUUGCUAUCAUAUUUAAGCAGGCUCUAACUCAAGUUCCAUUACACCCCAUCUAUCUGCUAACAAGUCAAGAAUGUAGUGAGGUGCAAGAUAGUAUCAUAUAAAUGAGUGGCUUUCACUUACUUCCAACAUGAUCACUCUAAUUUCUAAGACUUUCUAGAGUUAAAUGGUAAUGAACACCCAAGAUUUAACUUUUAAUCAGACUGAAUGCUAAGAAGAAUGACUUGUGCAAUAUCUAGCCUUAUUAAGCUUUCUAGCUAAUCCAUGUAGCGAGUGUUAGGCCAAUGACUCCCGAUCCAGAUGGCUCCAGGCACUAGAUGUAAAGACACCCUAACAGGAUUAAUAACUCAAGUCAACUAGGCUCCAAGGCCGAAUUAGUCACUCAGAGUUUAAUCUCAGUCAUCCUCACCUUUUUACGCGAACACUCGCUGCUUGCCAGGCAAGAAGUCCGGUUACUCAGUAAGAAGACUUAAAAUAAACUCAUUUUAUUAUUAUUAUUAUUAUUUUUUAGGAUGUUCAUCAUACAUAUAACUUUAAAUUAUCUAGAAGAUUUUAAAAGUAUUCAUAGUAGUUGCAAGUUUGCAUACCCCACUAUUCAUGUGCUUACGUGUAGGUGCUAAAUCAUCUUCUAUCAUGUUAGCAGGAGACAGGUGGGGCGAAAACUCAAGCUAGAACUAGUAUCAUAUUUCUUAACUCAAAGCUAUUGUCAAAGCAAUUUCUAGUUUAUACAGCCAAAAAGAUUAGAAUUUGAGUUAAAAAUUUGAAAUCCUCCAUUUUCUCUUUUUUUUGCAUAAAAGAUAAAAGAUCAAAAAUAUUCUCACCCCCAUACCUAAAUUAAACAUUGUCCUCAAUGUUGAGACUAUUAAAGCAGUAAUAGGGUAGAGGAGACAUUACCUGAUAUUGGACCUUGAUAUGGCUAGAUAAAUUGAAGAUCAGGGAAAAUAUCCCCAAACCUACAUGUUAGUAAUUUUUAGAAAAAAAAUUAUUAUUAUUAUUUUCAAUAAAUUUUACUCUUUACAUGCUGGGUUGCCUUCCAAGAGCACUAAGUUUUAAAUCUUCAGCCAGACAAUUCUAAUUCACUCAUAGACAGGGUCAGUCAAAAGUGUCUUCUCGACUUCUGGACUCAGAUACUCAAGGUAUGAUUUUAAACGAUAUCCAUUAACAUGAACGUCCUACCAUCCUUGGUAUUGCAUAUUACAACCGCACCAUGUGGAUGCACUUUCUCUAUCAUGUAUGGGCCAGUCCAAUGAGAUUUUAGUUUCCAGAAAAUAGAUGUAAUCGAGAAUCAUAUAAAAGGACUUUUUGUCCUUGGUGAAACUCCUUAUGAGUGAUCAUCUUAUCAUGCAUGACCUUCAUGCGAUCCUUGUACUUCUUAACACACUCGUAAGCAUCGUUCCUAAUUUCUUCAAGCUCAUUGAGCUGAAGCUUUCUAUGCUCUCCCGCCUUGUCGAGAUCGAAAUUAAGGCGUUUGAUUGCCUAAUAGGCCUUGUGUUCUAACUCGACAUGUAAAUGGCAAGCCUUGCCAUAGACAAUCCUAUAUGGGGACAUUCCAAUUGGUGUUUUGUAAGCCGUAUGAUAUGCCGACAAUGCAUCUGUUAACCUAAGGGACCAAUCCUUUCGAGAUAGAUUGACAGUUUUCUCAAGGAUGGUCUUAAUUUUCCUAUUAGAAAUCUCAACUUGUCCGCUCGUUUAUGGAUGAUACGGUGUUGCCCAGUAGAUACAACCCAAGAGGGGGGGUGAAUUGGGUCUUUUAAAACUUUCAACUACUUCUAAACUUUUCAAUUAAUUAAGCUAAGUUGUAUAGAUACACAGUGGAAUUUAAACUUAGCAACAGUUUGAUUCUAAUCUGAUCAAGAUUAAAACUAUUAAGCAGCGAACUCAAUAAAUAAUUAGUCUAGAUUUUUCCAAGCAAGCAUUUCAAUACAAUGAAUCUUAAUGCAGUUUUAUUAAAUGAAACUUGAUUAAAUAAUUUGAAUAUACUUGCAACUAAAGGAUGCGCGGAUAAGAGUUAAGCAAGCAAUUCAAUUAGAUAUUUAUCUAAGUAAGUAAGUAAGAAAAUUAAACAAUGAAAGAAAGCAUCACAAACACAACAAACGUAUAGUGGUUUAGUGCACCCCAGCAUCUACAUCUACUCCCCAAGACCUCUUGAGAAUUUCACUAUAAUCCCUCAUAUUACAGCUGGUUGUUUUACAAGCUCACAACCUAAUUUGUUGUUUUCAUGAGAUCAUAACAAACUCGGUCGGUUUUCACAGGCUCACCAACUAGAACCAAUCGAUUUUUCCGGGGUGACAAUCAAACCCAGUUGGUUUUUCCCAGUUCACCAACCACAACCUUACACCGUUGGUUUUCCCUUUGGCUCACCAACAAACCUUAAACCC
rnacentral:lncRNA from 1 species